GGUUAAGCGAAUAAGCGUACACGGUGGAUGCCUAGGCAAUCAGAGGCGAUGAAGGACGUGCUAAUCUGCGAAAAGCGUCGGUAAGGUGAUAUGAACCGUUAUACCCGACGAUAUCCGAAUGGGGAAACCCAGUAUCCAAUGGAUACUAUCAUUAACUGAAUCCAUAGGUUAAUGAGGCGAACCGGGAGAACUGAAACAUCUCAGUACCCCGAGGAAAAGAAAUCAA
rnacentral:rRNA from 2 species